rnacentral:rRNA from 1 species
AUCUCGGCUCUCGCAUCGAUGAAGAACGUAGCGAAAUGCGAUACUUGGUGUGAAUUGCAGAAUCCCGUGAACCAUCGAGUCUUUGAACGCAAGUUGCGCCCGAAGCCAUUAGGCCGAGGGCACGUCUGCCUGGGCGUCACGCAUCGCGUCGCCCCCGCACU